rnacentral:rRNA from 1 species
GAUGAACGCUGGCGGCGUGCCUAAUACAUGCAAGUCGAGCGAAGCGGGGACGGGUGAGUAACACGUGGAUAACCUCCUAUAAGACGGGGAUAACUUCGGGAAACGGGAGCAAAACCGGAAACUUAUAGAUGGAGCCGCGCUGGAUUAGCUAGUUGGGAAGGUAACGGCUGACCAAGGCAACGAUGCAUAGCCGGCCUGAGAGGGUGAUCGGCCACACUGGAACUGAGACACGGUCCAGACUCCUACGGGAGGCAGCAGUGGGGAAUCUUCCGCAAUGGGCGAAAGCCUGACGGAGCAACGCCGCGUGAGUGAUGAAGGUCUUCGGAUCGUAAAACUCUGUUAUUAGGGAAGCGUUACCUAAUCAGAAAGCCCCGGCUAACUACGUGCCAGCAGCCGCGGUAAUAC